GAUCCUGGCUCAGGAUAAACGCUAGCGGCAGGCUUAACACAUGCAAGUCGAGGGGCAGCGCGGAGUAGCAAUACUCUGGCGGCGACCGGCGGAAGGGUGCGUAACACGUGAGCGACUUGCCCGUCACAGGGAGAUAACCGCUGGAAACGGCGACUAAUAUCCCAUAUGAUGGCGAUCUGCAUGGAUUGUCAUUGAAAGAUUCAUCGGUGACGGAUAGGCUCGCGGGG
rnacentral:rRNA from 1 species